GGUUGUAGUUCAGCGGUAGAGCACUUGUCUAGCACGUGCAAGGCCCUGGGAUCGAUCCUCAGCACCA
rnacentral:tRNA from 1 species